rfam:Thermosynechococcus elongatus BP-1 DNA, complete genome.
GGCUCGGAAUCAUGCGAUCGCAACGCCUCAACCUUGUCAGGUCCGGAAGGAAGCAGCAAUACGGGAUGCUUGCGAUAGGCGUGAUCUCCGGGUCACCC